rnacentral:rRNA from 1 species
AACGAACGCUGGCGGCGUGUUUAAGACAUGCAAGUCGCACGGUGUCAUUUUGGUAGCAAUACUUGGAUGGCACAGUGGCGCACGGGUGAGUAACACGUGAAUGACAUGCCCUGUAGAGGGGGAUAGCCCAGGGAAACUUGGAUUAAUACCCCAUGGUCUCGCAAGAGUAAAGGUGGCGCAAGCUGCCGCUACGGGAUUGGUUCGCGUUCUAUCAGCUUGUUGGCGGGGUAACGGCCCACCAAGGCUACGACGGAUACCUGGUCUGAGAGGACGAUCAGGCACACUGGAACUGAGACACGGUCCAGACACCUACGGGUGGCAGCAGUCGAGAAUAAUUCACAAUGGGGGCAACCCUGAUGGUGCAACGCCGCGUGGAGGAUGAAGGUCUUCGGAUUGUAAACUCCUGUCAUCCGGGAGCAAGACCUGGCCGUGAAUAGCGGACAGGGUUGAUAGUACCGGAAGAGGAAGGGACGGCUAACUUCGUGCCAGCCGCCGCCGUAAGAC